rnacentral:rRNA from 1 species
AUUGAACGCUAGCGGGAUGCUUUACACAUGCAAGUCGAACGGCAGCGCGGACUUCGGUCUGGCGGCGAGUGGCGAACGGGUGAGUAAUGUAUCGGAACGUGCCCAGUAGCGGGGGAUAACUACGCGAAAGCGUAGCUAAUACCGCAUACGCCCUACGGGGGAAAGCAGGGGAUCGUAAGACCUUGCACUAUUGGAGCGGCCGAUAUCGGAUUAGCUAGUUGGUGAGGUAACGGCUCACCAAGGCGACGAUCCGUAGCUGGUUUGAGAGGACGACCAGCCACACUGGAACUGAGACACGGCCCAGACUCCUACGGGAGGCAGCAGUGGGGAAUUUUAGGCAAUGGGGGCAACCCUGAUCCAGCCAUCCCGCGUGUGCGAUGAAGGCCUUCGGGUUGUAAAGCACUGUUGUCAGGAAAGAACCAACGCGUGCGAAUACCCCGUGGAACUGACGGUACCUGCAGAAUAAGCACCGGCUAACUACGUG